rnacentral:rRNA from 1 species
CCCUAAGGCGAGGCCGAAAGGCGUAGUCGAUGGGAAACAGGUUAAUAUUCCUGUACUUGGUGUUACUGCGAAGGGGGGACGGAGAAGGCUAUGUUGGCCGGGCGACGGUUGUCCCGGUUUAAGCGUGUAGGCUGGUUUUCCAGGCAAAUCCGGAAAAUCAAGGCUGAGGCGUGAUGACGAGGCACUACGGUGCUGAAGCAACAAAUGCCCUGCUUCCAGGAAAAGCCUCUAAGCAUCAGGUAACAUCAAAUCGUACCCCAAACCGACACAGGUGGUCAGGUAGAGAAUACCAAGGCGCUUGAGAGAACUCGGGUGAAGGAACUAGGCAAAAUGGUGCCGUAACUUCGGGAGAAGGCACGCUGAUAUGUAGGUGAAGCGACUUGCUCGUGGAGCUGAAAUCAGUCGAAGAUACCAGCUGGCUGCAACUGUUUAUUAAAAACACAGCACUGUGCAAACACGAAAGUGGACGUAUACGGUGUGACGCCUGCCCGGUGCCGGAAGGUUAAUUGAUGGGGUUAGCGGUAACGCGAAGCUCUUGAUCGAAGCCCCGGUAAACGGCGGCCGUAACUAUAACGGUCCUAAGGUAGCGAAAUUCCUUGUCGGGUAAGUUCCGACCUGCACGAAUGGCGUAAUGAUGGCCAGGCUGUCUCCACCCGAGACUCAGUGAAAUUGAACUCGCUGUGAAGAUGCAGUGUACCCGCGGCAAGACGGAAAGACCCCGUGAACCUUUACUAUAGCUUGACACUGAACAUUGAGCCUUGAUGUGUAGGAUAGGUGGGAGGCUUUGAAGUGUGGACGCCAGUCUGCAUGGAGCCGACCUUGAAAUACCACCCUUUAAUGUUUGAUGUUCUAACGUUGGCCCCUGAUCGGGGUUGCGGACAGUGUCUGGUGGGUAGUUUGACUGGGGCGGUCUCCUCCUAAAGAGUAACGGAGGAGCACGAAGGUUGGCUAAUCCUGGUCGGACAUCAGGAGGUUAGUGCAAUGGCAUAAGCCAGCUUGACUGCGAGCGUGACGGCGCGAGCAGAUGCGAAAGCAGGUCAUAGUGAUCCGGUGGUUCUGAAUGGAAGGGCCAUCGCUCAACGGAUAAAAGGUACUCCGGGGAUAACAGGCUGAUACCGCCCAAGAGUUCAUAUCGACGGCGGUGUUUGGCACCUCGAUGUCGGCUCAUCACAUCCUGGGGCUGAAGUAGGUCCCAAGGGUAUGGCUGUUCGCCAUUUAAAGUGGUACGCGAGCUGGGUUUAGAACGUCGUGAGACAGUUCGGUCCCUAUCUGCCGUGGGCGCUGGAGAACUGAGGGGGGCUGCUCCUAGUACGAGAGGACCGGAGUGGACGCAUCACUGGUGUUCGGGUUGUCAUGCCAAUGGCACUGCCCGGUAGCUAAAUGCGGAAGAGAUAAGUGCUGAAAGCAUCUAAGCACGAAACUUGCCCCGAGAUGAGUUCUCCCUGACUCCCUGAGAGUCCUGAAGGAACGUUGAAGACGACGACGUUGAUAGGCCGGGUGUGUAAGCGCAGCGAUGCGUUGAGCUAACCGGUACUAAUGAACCGUGAGGCUUAACCUU